UCUCCCUCUUCCUGCCCGAGAGCCGCACUUUUAAAUAGGUUAGCUAUUAGAUUAGCAGGCAAUAUCAGUUAUCUUGUAGAUUAGCUGCUGGAUUGCCUGGCUGCUAGGCAAACCAGCAGAUAGAUCAGGUAGCUAGCAACUAACUGAACUAGUUACUCGGGACGCUAACUGCUGCAUCGGCUAGUCGCAAGAUCAGACUCGUAUGACAACAGUUACGAAACAGAUGACUUCCUUUGGGGGAAAAAAAAACCUGGUCCUCUUUUCCAAACUUAUCAACCAAUCAUUGGCGUGCCGCCACACAUCCCACGCAUCAUCCCCAGCUUCAUCUCCUCCGUCGGACCAAAACCAGCCUGCAUGAUGAUUGUUGUGCCCUGACACGUCCCGUCGGGGGCCAGAACCCCAAAACAUUACAACAAGGCGAUGAUCCCCCUCUGCUUGAAAAAAACAAAACCAAAAACAGGGACGCGGUCCUCCUCACAUGCCGUCGGUCGACGCAGAAUCCUUACAGCAACAGCCUCACGUCGAUCGUUGCCACCACCACAGGAGAAGGGGGAAGGACAGAGGUGAAGCGACAGUAAAACAGGCCAAAAUCCCCACUCAUUGCUUACUAGGUGUGAUUUAACCA